GUUUUACGAAAAGCGCCUGAACUGAGCAGAACGAAAAAAGCUUAGUUGACGAGGAUGGAGGAUUAUCGAAAGUUCGGCGGAUGCCUCCCGGUUGACGAUUACAGCCGCAAGCUCUCUCCUGAAAACAAAGAGGCAACUUUUUGCACAAAGGGAAGAACGUAAUCAC
rfam:Bacillus cibi strain DSM 16189 Contig17, whole genome shotgun sequence.